AGGUCAGGCCCUGAAUCAGGCUUCAUGCUCAUUGCAGAGUCUGCUUGAGGAUUCUCUCCCGCCACCCCUCCCUCCACCUCAGAAUAAAUACUUCUAAGUUAUGAGAAUCAAAUAGGACUGAGAAAUGCAACACUUCCAAUCAUCUAAGGUCAGAGCCAAGAACUCUGCAAUGAUUAAUUCAACAGUAUGUAUGAGCACUGCAGCACUUACUACUGCCUAACACUUGCUUCAAAGGACAGCAUGUCCUAACCAAUCAAUGUGAAACUGUCCUGCAUAGCCCUGCUUCCAUUUAAGAGCAAGGAACACCUGAUCUGUUGUUAUGCCUUACUAUGGGGAAAAAAUAAAUUCGGUUCUGGUACAAGAUCAAAACAAGACCAAAACUGGAAUGGGUAGAUAAUCUGA